rnacentral:rRNA from 1 species
CAUGAGUGGCGGACGGGUGGAGUAACGCGUGGGCAACCUGGCCUGUACAGGGGGAUAACACUUAGAAAUAGGUGCUAAUACCGCAUAACGGGGGAAGCCGCAUAGCUUUUCCCUGAAAACUCCGGUGGUACAGGAUGGGCCCGCGUCUGAUUAGCCAGUUGGCAGGGUAACGGCCUACCAAAGCGACGAUCAGUAGCCGGCCUGAGAGGGCGGACGGCCACAUUGGGACUGAGACACGGCCCAAACUCCUACGGGAGGCAGCAG